rnacentral:rRNA from 1 species
AUAAUGCAAGUAGAACGCUGAAGACUGGUGCUUGCACUAGUCAGAUGAGUUGCGAACGGGUGAGUAACGCGUAGGUAACCUACCUUAUAGCGGGGGAUAACUAUUGGAAACGAUAGCUAAUACCGCAUGACAAUUAAGUACUCAUGUACUAAAUUUAAAAGGAGCAAUUGCUUCACUAUGAGAUGGACCUGCGUUGUAUUAGCUAGUUGGUGAGGUAACGGCUCACCAAGGCUACGAUACAUAGCCGACCUGAGAGGGUGAUCGGCCACACUGGGACUGAGACACGGCCCAGACUCCUACGGGAGGCAGCAGUAGGGAAUCUUCGGCAAUGGGGGCAACCCUGACCGAGCAACGCCGCGUGAGUGAAGAAGGUUUUCGGAUCGUAAAGCUCUGUUGUUAGAGAAGAACGGUAAUGGGAGUGGAAAAUCCAUUACGUGACGGUAACUAACCAGAAAGGGACGGCUAACUACGUGCCAGCAGCCGCGGUAAUACGUAGGUCUCGAGCGUUGUCCGGAUUUAUUGGGCGUAAAGCGAGCGCAGGCGGUUAUUUAAGUCUGAAGUUAAAGGCCGUGGCUCAACCAUGGUUCGCUUUGGAAACUGGAUAACUUGAGUGCAGAAGGGGAGAGUGGAAUUCCAUGUGUAGCGGUGAAAUGCGUAGAUAUAUGGAGGAACACCGGUGGCG